ACAGGACGAGCAGACAGGACCACCCACACUAAAUCCAAAAAGGGCAGCUGGUCAAGUAGAGGCAGCAUCAGCAAAGUAGUCCUAACUCGGUAUCCUAGCCAUAAAGAAGACAGACCUGAAUUGCACGAAAAGCUUGUUACUCUCUGAAAAGCUUAAAAAUGCUUGUUAGCUAUCAGAUGAAGGAUGAGAAACAAAAGGCAUGGAUUAGAGUGAUGUGUGAAGGGCCAUUUUUCUGCGAACCUAGAGAGGACUACAAAGUACUCACCAGAAGCCCUGCUGACAGAGGUCUUACCUCACAUUUGGGAAAGCCUAUUGCUCAGAAGAAAACCCCGUGUUUCUGCGCAUGCAAAGCCUUGAUGAGGUUUUGAGAAGAAAAGAGUGUGUCAGAGCGAAACCACACGGAGGCUGUCAAAGCUUUGAAUCUUCCUCUCAAAAAAGCAACAUUCUGAUGUGUUCUUACUUGUUGAGGGCAGCAGUUCAACAAACUUCCCCCUAAGUCUUUCAGUGAAAUAUCU